rnacentral:rRNA from 1 species
UACGGGGGGAGCAAGCGUUGUUCGGAUUUACUGGGCGUAAAGGGCGCGUAGGCGGCCAGCACAAGUCAGUUGUGAAAUCUCCGAGCUUAACUCGGAAAGGUCAACUGAUACUGUGCGGCUAGAGUGCGGAAGGGGCAACUGGAAUUCUUGGCGUAGCGGUGAAAUGCGUAGAUAUCAAGAGGAACACCUGCGGCGAAGGCGGGUUGCUGGGCCGACACUGACGCUGAUGCGCGAAAGCUAGGGUAGCAAACAGG